AGUGAACGCUGGCGGUAGGCCUAACACAUGCAAGUCGAACGGCAGCACAGUAAGAGCUUGCUCUUACGGGUGGCGAGUGGCGGACGGGUGAGGAAUACAUCGGAAUCUACUUUUUCGUGGGGGAUAACGUAGGGAAACUUACGCUAAUACCGCAUACGACCUACGGGUGAAAGCAGGGGAUCUUCGGACCUUGCGCGAUUGAUUGAGCCGAUGUCGGAUUAGCUAGUUGGCGGGGUAAAGGCCCACCAAGGCGACGAUCCGUAGCUGGUCUGAGAGGAUGAUCAGCCACACUGGAACUGAGACACGGUCCAGACUCCUACGGGAGGCAGCAGUGGGGAAUAUUGGACAAUGGGCGCAAGCCUGAUCCAGCCAUACCGCGUGGGUGAAGAAGGCCUUCGGGUUGUAAAGCCCUUUUGUUGGGAAAGAAAAGCAGCAGGUUAAUACCCCGCUAUUCUGACGGUACCCAAAGAAUAAGCACCGGCUAACUUCGUG
rnacentral:rRNA from 1 species